AAUCUUGUAAAGAAAAGGAUUGGAGAGAGAUUUCAAUAUUAGAAAGAGAGUUUAGGGCAUCCAUAUAGAUGAAUGGAGAUGGAUGAUGAAAAUCUCUAUUCCUGUUGGUCAAAAAUCAAGACCAAUGGACUUCGAGGAGGCUGCCCGAGGCCAUAUUAGGAAUUAGGAUUAGUUUUUCAAAGCCAUUUGAGCUUUAAAGGCUAAGAUUAAUAUUUUUAGGUUUUUGGCUAUGGUUUUGGUACAAAUCUUGUAUGAUUUGGAAUUUAUUUGAAGGAGAUAU
rnacentral:lncRNA from 1 species